GGGGAUUUAGCUCAGUGGUAGAGCGCUUACCUAGCAAGCACAAGGCCCUGGGUUCAAUCCCCAGCUCCG
rnacentral:tRNA from 1 species